rnacentral:rRNA from 1 species
AUUGAACGCUGGCGGCAUGCCUAACACAUGCAAGUCGAACGAGUGGCGGACGGGUGAGUAAUGUCUGGGGAACUGCCCUAUGGAGGGGGAUAACUCCUGGAAACAGUAGCCAAUACCGCAUACCAUCGGAUGUGCCCAGAUGGGAUUAGCUAGUAGGUGGGGUAACGGCUCAACUAGGCGACGAUCCCUAGCUGGUCUGAGAGGAUGACCAGUCACACUGGAACUGAGACACGGUCCAGACUCCUACGGGAGGCAGCAGUGGGGAAUAUUGCACAAUGGGCGAAAGCCUGAUGCAGCCAUGCCGCGUGUAUGAAGAAGGCCUUCGGGUUGUAAAGUACUUUCAGCGAGGAGGCGUUACGCGCAGAAGAAGCACCGGCUAACUACGUGCCAGUAGCCGCGGUAAUUC